UACGUAGGGUGCGAGCGUUGCCCGGAUUUAUUGGGCGUAAAGGGCGCGUAGGCGGCCACGCACGUCCGUUGUGAAAUCGCCCGGCUCAACUGGGCGGGGUCAGCGGAUACGGUGUGGCUCGAGCAAGCUAGGGGGCAAUGGAAUUCCCGGUGUAGUGGUGGAAUGCGUAGAUAUCGGGAGGAACACCAGUGGCGAAGGCGGUUGCCUGGAGCUUUGCUGACGCUGAUGCGCGAAAGCCAGGGGAGCAAACGGG
rnacentral:rRNA from 1 species